UACGUAGGGGGCGAGCGUUGUCCGGAAUGACUGGGCGUAAAGGGCGCGUAGGCGGUCUUGUAAGUUAGGAGUGAAAUUCCAGUUUUCAAGGUUGGAACUGCUUUUAAUACUGCAGGGCUUGAGUGCAGAAGAGGUAAGCGGAAUUCCCAGUGUAGCGGUGAAAUGCGUAGAGAUUGGGAAGAACACCAGUGGCGAAGGCGGCUUACUGGGCUGUAACUGACGCUGAGGCGCGAAAGCGUGGGGAGCGAAC
rnacentral:rRNA from 1 species